GUGUUACGGUACAGAGUCAAUGUGGAGGCUAUAUACAGGGGGGUACCGGUACAGAGUCAAUGUGGAGGCUAUAUACAGGGGGUACCGGUACAGAGUCAAUGUGGAGGCUAUAUACAGGGUAUUACGGUACAGAGUCAAUGUGGAGGCUAUAUACAGGGGGGUACCGGUACAGAGUCAAUGUGGAGGCUAUAUACAGGGGGGUACCGGUACAGAGUCAAUGUGGAGGCUAUAUACAGGGGGGUACCGGUACAGAGUCAAUGUGGAGGCUAUAUACAGGGGGGUACCGGUACAGAGUCAAUGUGGAGGCUAUAUACAGGGGGGUACCGGUACAGAGUCAAUGUGGAGGCUAUAUACAGGGGGGUACCGGUACAGAGUCAAUGUGGAGGCUAUAUACAGGGGGGGUACCGGUACAGAGUCAAUGUGGAGACUAUAUACAGGGGGGUACCGGUACAGAGUCAAUGUGGAGGCUAUAUACAGGGGGGGUACCGGUACAGAGUCAAUGUGGAGGCUAUAUACAGGGGGGUACCGGUACAGAGUCAAUGUGGAGGCUAUAUACAGGGGGGUACCGGUACAGAGUCAAUGUGGAGGCUAUAUACAGGGGGUACCGGUACAGAGUCAAUGUGGAGACUAUAUACAGGGGGGUACCGGUACAGAGUCAAUGUGGAGGCUAUAUACAGGGGGGUACCGGUACAGAGUCAAUGUGGAGGCUAUAUACAGGGGGUACCGGUACAGAGUCAAUGUGGAGACUAUAUACAGGGGGGUACCGGUACAGAGUCAAUGUGGAGGCUAUAUACAG
rnacentral:lncRNA from 1 species